AUUGAACGCUGGCGGCAUGCUUUACACAUGCAAGUCGGACGGCAGCACAGAGAAGCUUGCUUCUUGGGUGGCGAGUGGCGAACGGGUGAGUAACAUAUCGGAACGUACCGAGCAGUGGGGGAUAACUAAUCGAAAGAUUAGCUAAUACCGCAUAUUUUCUGAGGAAGAAAGCAGGGGACCAUUUGGCCUUGCGCUGUUUGAGCGGCCGAUAUCUGAUUAGCUAGUUGGUGGGGUAAAGGCCUACCAAGGCGACGAUCAGUAGCGGGUCUGAGAGGAUGAUCCGCCACACUGGGACUGAGACACGGCCCAGACUCCUACGGGAGGCAGCAGUGGGGAAUUUUGGACAAUGGGCGCAAGCCUGAUCCAGCCAUGCCGCGUGUCUGAAGAAGGCCUUCGGGUUGUAAAGGACUUUUGUCAGGGAAGAAAAGGGCGGGGUCAAUACCCCUGUCUG
rnacentral:rRNA from 1 species